GAACCUGAAGGAGUUUCUGGAGGGGCGGAACCUGAUUACCAAACUGGAGGCCAAACAUGACCUGAUACAGAAGACUCUGGGAGAGAGUCAGAAGACUGACUGUUGCCUUGCCAGUGACAGGAGGAAC